rnacentral:rRNA from 1 species
CCUACGGGUGUCAGCAGUAGGGAAUAUUGCUCAAUGGGGGACACCCUGAAGCAGCAACGCCGCGUGGAGGAUGAAGGCUUUCGGAUUGUAAACUCCUUUCGUUAGAGAAGAUAAUGACGUUAUCUAACGAAUAAGCACCGGCUAACUCCGUGCCAGCAGCCGCGGUAAUACGGAGGGUGCAAGCGUUACCCGGAAUCACUGGGCGUAAAAGGCGCGUAGGCGGGAUAGCACGUCAGAUGUGAAAUCCUAUGGCUUAACCAUAGAACUGCAUUUGAAACUGUUAUUCUAGAGUCUGGGAGAGGUAGGUGGAAUUCGUGGUGUAGGGGUAAAAUCCGUAGAGAUCAAGAGGAAUACGCAUUGCGAAGGCGACCUGCUAGAAUAUAACUGACACUGAUGCGCGAAAGCGUGGGGAGCAAACAGGAUUAGAUACCCCUGUAGUC